UCUCCAACUGUUGCAGAUCAAGGGAGCUGAAGACUCUUCAUCAACAAGAGAGAUAAUCUUUAGUAUGUGCUAAAAAUGGGGCUCACUCACUUACAAGAAUCAACAAUAAGAAGAUUGAAAAAUGUAUAGGAGACCAAAGUGCUAAAUCCUGUUCUAAAAGAAGAGCAAGAUGCCCAAGAAUUAUGUGUAGGGGGCGGGGCAAUGGAAUUGUCAAUGAGGUUAGCCAUUUGUUUCAAUUCUAACUUUUGAGUAUAUGCAAUUUUCAAUUCAAGAUUGGAGCUCUAAUUCGUUCAGAAUGACUUGCAAAGUACAGCCAGGUAGUUCCCCAACCUUUCCUCAUGGUUAAUAUAUUAAUCUUUUAGGGCAUGCUUGA